rnacentral:rRNA from 1 species
CCUACGGGAGGCAGCAGUGAGGAAUCUUGGUCAAUGGACGAAAGUCUGAACCAGCCAAGUAGCGUGAGGGAUGACUGCCCUAUGGGUUGUAAACUUCUUUUAUAUGGGAAUAAAACGUUCCACGUGUGGGAUUUUGCAUGUACCAUAUGAAUAAGGAUCGGCUAACUCCGUGCCAGCAGCCGCCGUAAUACGGAGGGUCCGAGCGUUAUCCGGAUUUAUUGGGUUUAAAGGGAGCGUAGGGGGGUUGUUAAGUCAGUUGUGAAAGUUUGCGGCUCAACCGUAAAAUUGCAGUUGAAACUGGCAGUCUUGAGUACAGUAGAGGUGGGCGGAAUUCGUGGUGUAGCGGUGAAAUGCUUAGAUAUCACGAAGAACUCCGAUUGCGAAGGCAGUUCACUGGACUGCAACUGACGCUGAGGCUCGAAAGUGUGGGUAUCAAACAGGAUUAGAUACCCUAGUAGUC